ensembl:lncRNA
AAGCCGUAGUCCACAGGAGUGCAUCACCUGCUACCACAGAUCUGACAGUGGUUACCACGACAGGCCACAAGUCAAGUUCUGAGAAUGAGAUUCUGAAUUCUGAGAGAGGCCACUGGUCUUAAGACACUGGAUGCCUAACAACUGAGGCCUCAAUGGAAAUAUCACCUCUUCAGGAAUGGAUACUCCUUGCUGCUAGAGUUUGGAUGUGGAGCACCCCUACAGGCUUGGGUACCAGGCUGUGGCGCUAUUGGAAGGUGAUGGAGCCUUUAGGAGAUGUGGCCUUGUGGGUGAAGCGAUUGUGGGGGCCUCAUGUGGAGAAGUAAGACCACUGCUAACAUGGCCUGGACUGCUAAAUAGUGCCCAGAAGGAGAUGAAAACUCCCCAGGACAUCUGCUCAACUUGGGCCACAUUUCCCACAAGCAGUAAGAAGCUGGAGUACAGAAGGCUGAUGGGUAUUUGUGGUUGCAGUGAGCAUGGUCCUCUGUGCAGGACGCCGUGGACUGCAUGCCACCAGCUGGCCUCAUGUCGCCUGCUGAGUCUUUGUACACACUCUGCUGUGCGUACCUGUCACAUUCCCCUUGUACAGGGCAGAAGCUAG